rnacentral:rRNA from 1 species
GACGUAGGGCGCGAGCGUUGUCCGGAUUUAUUGGGCGUAAAGAGCUCGUAGGCGGUUUGUCGCGUCUGCCGUGAAAGUCCGGGGCUCAACUCCGGAUCUGCGGUGGGUACGGGCAGACUAGAGUGAUGUAGGGGAGACUGGAAUUCCUGGUGUAGCGGUGAAAUGCGCAGAUAUCAGGAAGAACACCCGUGGCGAAGGCGGCUCUCUGGAACGCAACUGACGCUGAGACGCGAAAGCGUGGGAGCAAACAGG